UUGGAGGGCAAGUCUGGUGCCAGCAGCCGCGGUAAUUCCAGCUCCAAUAGCGUAUAUUAAAGUUGUUGCAGUUAAAAAGCUCGUAGUUGAAUUUCGGGAUUAGUACGCUGGUCGUGCCUUCGGUACGUACUGGUGUUACUGAUUUCUACCUUCUGACGAACCAUCAUGUCAUUAAUUUGGUGUGGUGGGGAAUCAGGACUGUUACUUUGAAAAAAUUAGAGUGUUUAAAGCAGGCUCGCGCUUGAAUACAUUAGCAUGGAAUAAUGAAAUAGGACGUUGAUCCUAUUUUGUUGGUUUCUAGGAUUGACGUAAUGAUUAAUAGGGAUAGUUGGGGGCAUUAGUAUUCAAUUGUCAGAGGUGAAAUUCUUGGAUUUAUUGAAGACUAACUACUGCGAAAGCAUUUGCCAAGGAUGUUUUCAUUAAUCAAGAACGAAAGUUAGAGGAUCGAAGACGAUCAGAUACCGUCGUAGUCUUAACCAUAAACUAUGCCGACUAGGGAUCGGAUGAUGUUAUUUUUAAUGACUCAUUCGGCGCCUUACGGGAAAC
rnacentral:rRNA from 1 species